rnacentral:rRNA from 1 species
UAAGACUGGGAUAACUCCGGGAAACCGGGGCUAAUACCGGAUAACUCAGUUCCUCGCAUGAGGAACGGUUGAAAGGUGGCUUUUUGCUACCACUUACAGAUGGACCCGCGGCGCAUUAGCUAGUUGGUGAGGUAACGGCUCACCAAGGCGACGAUGCGUAGCCGACCUGAGAGGGUGAUCGGCCACACUGGGACUGAGACACGGCCCAGACUCCUACGGGAAGGCAGCAGUAGGGAAUCUUCCGCAAUGGACGAAAGUCUGACGGAGCAACGCCGCGUGAGUGAAGAAGGUUUUCGGAUCGUAAAACUCUGUUGUUAGGGAAGAACAAGUGCCGUUCGAAUAGGGCGGCACCUUGACGGUACCUAACCAGAAAGCCACGGCUAA